rnacentral:rRNA from 1 species
GUGCCAGCAGCCGCGGUAAGACGAACCGUGCGAACGUUGUUCGGAUUCACUGGGCUUAAAGGGCGCGUAGGCGGGCACCAAAGUCCGGGGUGAAAUCCCGCGGCCCAACCGCGGGACUGCCUGGGAUACUGGGUGCCUCGAGGGAGGUAGGGGCGUGCGGAACUUCCGGUGGAGCGGUGAAAUGCGUAGAUAUCGGAAGGAACGCCGGUGGCGAAAGCGGCGCGCUGGACCUCUUCUGACGCUGAGGCGCGAAAGCCAGGGGAGCGAACGGGAUUAGAUACCCCGGUAGUCCUGGCCCUAAACGAUGGGCACCGGGUAGCGGGCCGGCAUGGGCUCGCUGCCGCAGCGAAAGUGCUAAGUGCCCCGCCUGGGGAGUAUGGUCGCAAGGCUGAA